ensembl:lncRNA
GCAUCCCAACCAUGCCUUUACAGUCAAGGUUUCUGACGGAGCUGAGUUUUUCUCUGACAGUCUGCUGAAAGUGUUUGCAAAGUGAUCGGGGGAACAGGGCACAAAGCUAAAGGAUGUAGCGGCCAUAAUGACAGAUGACAUUAAUGCUCGGAGUCCCUCAUCAAAGUGCUCCGCAUCUGUGUGAAAGACAAUUGCAACAUCUUGGUGCAGGAGUUCAUGGACUUGACUGAGGCCACUGCACAGAUUGAGAAAACCACAAUGAACAUCUGUCUCCAGAGGAUGCACCAGGCAAUGACUUUUCUGAUGUUGUUCUUCAAGAUCUGGAUAACGUGACCUUUGCAGUAGCCAUGCUGUUUGGACCUUUUUUAUUCCUUCAACAUGAGUUACCC